GACGAACCGUGCAAACGUUGUUCGGAAUCACUGGGCUUAAAGGGCGCGUAGGCGGGCCAGCCAGUCUGUGGUGAAAGCCUCCAGCUUAACUGGAGAAGUGCCGUGGAUACUGCUGGCCUCGAGGAGGGUAGGGGCAUCUGGAACGGUCGGUGGAGCGGUGAAAUGCGUUGAUAUCGACCGGAACUCCGGUGGCGAAGGCGAGGUGCUGGACCCUUUCUGACGCUGAUGCGCGAAAGCCAGGGGAGCAAACGGG
rnacentral:rRNA from 1 species